rnacentral:lncRNA from 1 species
GAUAUUUCCCACAAUGACCCUGCCUUUUCAUAAGCACCAGCAGUGAUGGAAAUUUCAAUUACUCCACACUUAGAUUUGGUGGGAUAUAGAGGUAUUUUACUGUGUUUUCUUUCUUUCCUUCUUUCUUUCUUUCUUUCUUUCUUCCUUCCUUCCUUCCUUCCUUCCUUCCUUCCUUCCUUCCUUCCUUCCUUCCUUCUUUCUGGUACUGGGGAUUGAACUCAGGACCUUGUGCUUGUGAGGCAGGAGGCAGAACAAUUGAGCUAAAUCCCCAGGCCUGUGUUUACUUUCUUACUUUUAGAAAAAAUGGAAAUUAUUUCCCUAAUUUGUCUCUACUUUCCUAUUACUGUAUACAUAGCAAAGAGAGCUAUGUAUGUUCCAAGAUCAGUAUUAAAUACUAAGCCUUUCCCUUUCAUGUCAAGUCCAGAUAUAGCUAGAGAGAAGAAUGAAAGAGACACUGAAGUCCCAGGAGCCUGGGUGCACUCCAGGACUAGUGGCCAUGAAAGGCUGGCUGCUCACUUCCUCUGCUUGUCCAGAUCCAGGCUCUGGAUGAAGAACUAGCUGUGCCGCGUGACGGAGGUUUAACCUCAGGACAUGGUGCCUGGAUGAGAGGUCCUGCUCCCUAUGUAGACAGUGCUGAGUGAGACUGUCCACACUCACCACCAUGGAGGUGGGAAGUGGAUUACAAACCCCUGUGCACAGGGUGCACACGGGCCACAGCUCCUUCCCCACUGCACACAGAUGUCCAGAACAUUACCUGGUAGCCUCUUUCAUAUUACAAACUUCUGGAGGAAGAGAUGAAAAAUUUCAAAUUUGCUCUGCAGAACAAAAAUUGUCCCUUUAAAGAUGAAUGUGCAGCUGUGCCCAGUGCUGAUGGAGUCAUAGCACAGACCAGGGAUUAGUAAACGGUGUGUGCCCCAUUAAGACUAAACAAGCCCCUGCUCAUUAGAGCCCUAAUUGCAGUGGUUAUAUCAAAGCCCCACAGACCUCACCAGUGUCUAGUUCAGCUCUGUGUGUUACAUAGGUGCCUGGCGUCAUCUUCCCACCUGCUGAAAUGAAAGAUUCUUGGAAUAUCCAUGUGUGUAAAACAUGUUUGUGAUGCAAAUAUGAAGGUACCCUUUCAUCCCGUCCCCACUUUGAUGUCAUGGUAGGAGACUCUUGGUGCCCUCUGCUUCCAGACAUGGACUGAGAUGUUAUCUGGUUUGCAGACCUGCAGGCCUUGUGCCAGUACGGGAACAGGUGACAAGAUUUCUCUUCAUCCAAGGUUUUUAUGAGGGAUGUAUCCACUUCUCAAUUAAUAGAGAUAAGAAGAUGUGGACACAUCUUUCUUUAAGGUUUAGAAUGACAACUCCUGCAUCCAGGUUGGGGGCGGGCAGCAAAACUUAGAUCAGGGAAGUGGAAUUCAGGUGAUGAUGCAAGGCAUUUGGCAUGGGGUCUCUGGCAUGUGGGAAUGCUGUGAGGAUUUUCCUCCCUGAGACAGGCCAGUGGGCUCCUCUCCUGAGGCGUGUAGGUAGGAAAGAUGCAUCUCAUCUUAAUAGUUUAAUUUAAAUUUAAAAGCUCAGUUUUUCUCUAUGCCAGAUGCCUAGGUCUUAAUUUUUGGUUAGGAUCUCCCAAAUUUUGAACACUGUGACACCGAGAUCUUGCAGUAAACACUUAGACAAUAAUAAUUAAAAGCCCUCUGGGGCUGGGGCUGAACCAGGUUUGCACAAAAUGCUCCCAGGCACUGUUAACAGGGCACUCAUCAGAACCAAGGAUCUGCUGAGUUAUGUUGUCAUGUUAUUUUCCUUGUUUAAAAAUAGAGUCAUUAUUCAAUGACUUCUAAGCACAUGUGCAUAAAGAAGCCUAAAUUUCUCAAACAAGAAUCAAUUAGAAACCACAGUUGAUAUGUUAUUUUUGUUCAUUAGAGAAUCUUUGAAUGAGUAAAUUUAAAGUGCAUAAAACUUCUAUAAAGAUACCUCAAAAUUUAGUUUUGUCCAUGUCAUCUUGCAUUGAAACAGCUGCUAAAGUGUGUGACCAAAGGGGAAGAGUUAAAAGACAAAUAUUGUAAGACAGACUAAAACCUGACAGUGGAAAAUUUAAACUCACUAGAAAUUUGCUCUCAAACUAUCUCCUUCAUUUUCAAAUCCAG